rnacentral:lncRNA from 1 species
AAGGAAAACAUAAUUUUUGUAAAUGAUGUAAUUGAUGAUAAAGGAGAAAUUUCUCAUAAAAUAUUAGAUAAACUUAAAAAGAAACAAAAUUGGAUUGCCGAAAUAUGUUCCCUUCGGAAAGCUUUACCCAAAAGUUGGAUCCAAAAAUUAAAGAGCAAUAUAUCAAAACAUACUAAAAUCAACAUAACACAAGACAUUAAAAUGUUAAGUAAUGGAUUGUAUUACGAUCUAGACAAAAUUAAGUUUAAAGAAAUUUAUAAUAUUAUUAUCAGGUCA